UACGUAGGGAGCAAGCGUUGUUCGGAUUUACUGGGCGUAAAGGGCGCGUAGGCGGCCUGUCAAGUCAAUUGUGAAAUCUCCGGGCUUAACUCGGAACGGUCAAUUGAUACUGUCAGGCUAGAGUGCAGAAGGGGCAAUCGGAAUUCUUGGUGUAGCGGUGAAAUGCGUAGAUAUCGAGAGGAACACCGAUGGCGAAGGCAGGUCUCUGGGCAUUAACUGACGCUGAGGAGCGAAAGCAUGGGGAGCGAACAGG
rnacentral:rRNA from 1 species